UACGUAGGGUGCAAGCGUUGUCCGGAAUUAUUGGGCGUAAAGAGCUCGUAGGCGGUUUGUCGCGUCUGCUGUGAAAACCCGGAGCUCAACUCCGGGCCUGCAGUCGAUACGGGCAAACUGGAGUGUUGCAGGGGAGACUGGAAUUCCUGGUGUAGCGGUGAAAUGCGCAGAUAUCAGGAGGAACACCGGUGGCGAAGGCGGGUCUCUGGGCAACAACUGACGCUGAGGAGCGAAAGCGUGGGGAGCGAACAGG
rnacentral:rRNA from 1 species